AUUGAACGCUGGCGGCAGGCCUAACACAUGCAAGUCGAGCGAGCGGCGGACGGGUGAGUAAUGUCUGGGAAACUGCCUGAUGGAGGGGGAUAACUACUGGAAACGGUAGCUAAUACCGCAUACCAUCAGAUGUGUCCAGAUGGGAUUAGCUAUUGGGUGGGGUAACGGCGCACCUAGGCGGCCGACCCUAGCUGGUCUAAGCGGAUGACCAGCCACAUGGGAACUGUGACACGGUCCAGACUCCUACGGGAGGCAGCAGGGGGGAAUAUUGCACAAUGGGCGCAAGCCUGAUGCAGCCAUGCCGCGUGUGUGAAGAAGGCCUUCGGGUUGUAAAGCACUUUCAGCGGGGAGGCGUUACCCGCAGAAGAAGCACCGGCUAACUCCGUGCCAGCAGCCGCGGUAAUAC
rnacentral:rRNA from 1 species